rnacentral:RNase_P_RNA from 1 species
AGUUGGCCGGAUGGCCGCUCCGGUGCGGGGUCUCCCGCAUCGGGGAGGAAAGUCCGGGCUCCAUGGAAACACGGUGCCGGGUAACGCCCGGCGGGGGCGACCCCAGGGAAAGUGCCACAGAAAGCAAACCGCCCCGGGGAACCGGGGUAAGGGUGAAAGGGUGCGGUAAGAGCGCACCGCGCCUCCGGCGACGGAGGCGGCACGGUAAACCCCACCGGGAGCAAGACCGAAUAGGGGCGGCAUGGGCGCGCUGUCUUGCGGCGUGGCCCAAAUCGCGUUUCCGGAUCGCCGCCCGGGUUGGUCGCGCGAGGUGCGCGGCAACGCGCAUCCCAGAGGAAUGGCCAUCCAGCGGGCCCCUUCGCGGGGGCUUCGUGGACAGAACCCGGCUUACAGGCCAACUG